rnacentral:rRNA from 1 species
GACGAACGCUGGCGGCGUGCUUAACACAUGCAAGUCGAACGGAAAGGCCCUGCUUUUGUGUGGUGCUCGAUUGGCGAACGGGUGAGUAACACGUGAGUAACCUGCCCCUGACUUUGGGAUAACUUCAGGAAACUGGGGCUAAUACCGCAUAGGAGCUCCUGCUGCACGGUGGGGGUUGGAAAGUUUCGGCGGUGGGGGAUGGACUCGCGGGUUAUCAGCUUGUUAGUCGGGUAGUGGCUUACCAAGGUUUCGACGGCUAGCCGGCCUGAGAGGGUGACCGGCCACAUGGGGACUGAGAUACGGCGCAGACGCCUACGGGAGGCAGCAGUGGGGAAUAUUGCAGAAUGGGCGGAAGCCUGAUGCAGCAACGCUGCGUGCGUGAUGACGUCCUACGGGUUGUAAACCGCUUUCGCCUGUGACGAAGCGUGAGUGACGGUAAUGGGUAAAGAAGCACCGGCUAACUACGUG